AAAAGAUGUCUUCCAGCACACGUCCAUCGACGUGUGCUACACCACUUUGUGGCAACGAUGUAAAAAUAUCUUUAGGGCUCUGUGGGCACAUGCUUUGUCAUGCAUGUGCUCACAGAGCAUUCGAAAUGGACAAAUGUACAAUAUGCCUCCUUAAUGAGAUAGCAGUGGUAAGCAUCAUAAUGGGGUCCAUAAUGGAUCCCAAGCUUCUCGUCGAAAAUCGUUUUCAAUAAAGAAACAGAAAGUGAAAACAAGAUGCGUAUCAGAUGUUUUUUGCUUUCCUUUUUUAAAUCUCAAAUAAAACAUUCUCAAAUUAAA